rnacentral:rRNA from 1 species
UACGUAGGGUGCAAGCGUUGCUCGGAAUCAUUGGGCGUAAAGAGCGUGUAGGUGGCUAGAUAAGUCGGAUGUGAAAUCCCUCGGCUCAACCGAGGAAGUGCAUUCGAAACUAUCUAGCUCGAGGAUGGCAGAGGAAGGUGGAAUUCCUAGUGUAGAGGUGAAAAUUCGUAGAUAUUAGGAGGAAUACCGGUGGCGAAGGCGGCCUUCUGGACCAUUCCUGACACUGAGACGCGAAAGCGUGGGUAGCAAACAGG